UCUAAAUCAAAGCAUUGCGACCAAAGGCUGUCUAAUAGUACAAUAUAGUAUGUACUUAAUUAAGUACAAAUGAGUUUCUUCCAAGCUCAUAGGAUACAAAAAAGUUUGACAUUCCAAAUAUCAAAAAUAGCUCUACAAUAAUGUAAAAUUUUAUGGUGCCUUUAAGAACUCGUUGGAAAUUAAGCUCUCAUCCACUUUGAGUAGUAGCAACCUAAUAAAGUAUAAAUUAUUAGAAAAAUAUUUUUUUUUUAAAUGCAAGUACAAUAUGCAAAAAGCUCCAGGAAUAAAUGGGGAAGGAAGGGUCGUUAAUAAGAAUCAGUCUCACGGUUAUUAGGUUCUUGAAGGAAAACAAAUAAUGACCUACUGAAAUGAUCCGUAACAAUAUUAUGAUAUGUAGUGAGAUUGAAUUAUCUGACAUGUACCAUUAAAAUAAUUUAUAUUAACAAAUCUUACAUCAUGUCUAAGGUGCUCCAACAAAUCUGAAUGUACCCCCAAAAGAAUUCUAUACGUAUGAUAUGGUUUUUUAGCUCAGAGGAAAGGAAAAUGAAGACAUGCAGUUCGUACAUCAACUUAUUUCAUCUGUCAUAUUCGAACUUUACUUGAUCAAAUGCUAACAGCAUGAUCAGCCAGACCAACAGUUGCAGAGAUGCUCAGUCCGCUUACAAGUUUGUAGAACUUCAUCCAGAGUGCCAAAUGGAUCAUCUAUUUUCUGAAGGUUUUUUUUUUAAUUAACAUGUUGAAUGCCAUUUAACUCAAACCAAUAUCCCCUAAGAAGGCAACAACAGUGAUCAUCUAUUCCCCAAAGUUAUUUUUUAUCGACAUAGUGAAUGCCAUGUAACUCAAACCAAUAGCUCCCAAAGAAGGCAACAACAGUGAAAAAAGCACUUACCUGAUAAAGAUGUACAUCUCCGUUGGUACAAGUUACCUGCAACAGAAGUGCAAAAAGUACAUGAAUGAAAAUUAGAAAGAGUCACAUAUAAGGAAAACUUUUGAAUAAAUUACAAAAAAGUACACUGCUUGAAUGAAUAUCCCAAACUAAAUGUUGCCAAAAGUUAAUCCUUUCUACAACUUCAUUUUAUCAUCAUCAGAUUUGUUGAUAUAUAUAACUAAUACUAAGAUAAGAUGGCAAUAUGCAGGCAAUCACACAUUUCAAAUAGUAAUUAUGUUACUUAGGUUACCAUGAAUACAAGAUCAAAUGGCUUAUUACGCCACUUCUAGACACUGCCAAGCAAACAAAGAUACAUCAUAUACGACAUAUCUGAUUUAUCGCUAUGGACAGAAAAGAAGCAUUUUUUAUACAUACUACUUGCCUUUUAUGUCAGAGGAGGUUAAAAGCAAUAAGUAUUUUUCUAAUUUGAAUUUUACACAUCAUAGACAAAAAGAUUUAAGUAACUUCACACAACACGUAGUAUAAGUGUAUAUUAUGUAGUAUUUAAUAAGCUGCUUGUAAAAUUUUAAAAUACUAUAACGUCAAGACUCAACAUUAAGUACUUAGAGUUCUUUACACACCCAUUGGUAUAAAAAUGCGUAUCACCUCUAUGCAAGAUAAGAAAAGUAAGAGAGAGAAGGAGUUAUGAUAAGAAAAUUGUACCAAUAUCAUAUUACAUGAAUUAUGGAUGUUCAAUUUAGGAAAACUAAUCACAUUUGUGUUAGAAAAAACUUAUACUUUUAAAAGAAAUAUGAACACUCUCAAAUGUUGAAAUGUAUACAUAGCUAAAUAAGUUUACCUUAAAAAGCAAAUAAGUAAAAACUAAACUGAAAAGCUUUGUGUCAGUAGGCAUUUCGAGAGUCGAGACUCUAAUGUGGAACAUCUGAAACGAAUUUGGAAGUUGAUUUGGUGUGGUCUUUUGAAGUACGGAAUUGAAUUUUUUUUGGUGGAAAGCUUUGAAAUCCAUCAUUGUUGAAGCUUGGGUCUGACUUGGUGAUAAUAAUUUCGGCUGGUGAUAACCGUUCGAGCCUCCAUUGAUGAGAUUCAACUGAGUUUAAUUAUAUUCCAAUACACCAUUAGUGGUCUGUAUUAUUGAGAAUAUAGUUCUUUAGACCUGUAAAUAAUGAAAACCAAAAGGAAGAAAAUGAAUGUCGAAGAUUUAGCUCAGGAUUUGGCCAAGUAGACGGACUCACAAUUAAUAAGAUGAUUUCUCUGAUAGUUAUUCUGGCACUUGAUUGAACACAAGAUCUAUAGUACCACCGGAUGGUAUAAUUAAUCAUUUUCUACAUAGUUGACUUGAAAACAAUAGAGUCCUUUUUCCUCCCACUGUCCCACAUUAACAACAUACAACAAAGAGAACAAGCAAUAAUGAAAAAACGAAGGAAGUAAAUAAAUAUCGAAGAUUUAACGGAUGGACUCACAGUUGAUAAUUUGAUUUCACUGAGAGUAACCACAAGAGAUAUUCGGGCGCCUGAUUGAGCACGAGAUCUGCACUAAUAGGUGGUAUAAUUCUUUUCUGCAUAAUUGACUCGAAAAGAGCAGACUCAUCCUCCCUUCCACCUCUUGAUCUAGAUAGGAAUAGCUCAUCAGCCUCUUUAAGAUCUCCCUAUAGAAGGUAAUAAUGAAAAUGCCUUAAAGUCAUACUCAUUAAUAUUAGAAUCAAAACUUACACGAGUGAUAUGUUGAGCUUUAUACACUCUACUUAUGGGUAGAAACAUUGCUANNNNNNNNNNNNNNNNNNNNNNNNNNNNNNNNNNNAUACUUCUCACCAGAAACAUCAGCAUGCAAGAUAAUAUUAACAUGAUCUUCAGUACAAAAUAUAAUGUGUCAGAAGUCAGAACCAACCUUGGAACUUGUGUUAUCGUAGUAGAGUAACAUGUAAACAAAGUACCUAAAGAUAGAUUACCUCAAGAUGACUAUUCAGAUAUGCAACCUGAAAUAGGUCUCAAUGGACUUUGUCACAACAUCUGCAAAUCAUUGUAAUUCAGUAUGUUCUGAGGAAAAAUAUUUAGCUUUUCAGUAGAUAACAUAAGACCUACAAUACCUAUUAAACUUACCAGAACCAUAUAUCAUUUAAUUAUGACAAUAAAGAUCGUUUGUACAUACAUAUAUUGAACCAAAUUUUUUAUUCCUUCUUUUGAGCUCUCCCUCAUCUUCUUGAAUUUCUCAUGAGUGACCACCUUUUACACUUGACUUCAGAUUUCAUUUGCACUUUUUUGGCUUCUCAUUAAUCAUCACCUUUGCAGAUCUGUUCCAAAUUACAGCCAAGAAACAAUUCAUUAGUGAGUUAUAAUUUUCUUGUGUUAGCUUCGAGCCAUUUGUGCAGUAAAACAAUCAGUAAGAAACUACAAACAAUGAGCACUAUACAUGAAUAGGUUGACGUGAUAACUUAACGAUCUCUUCGAUAGAAGGGGGUAAAUAUCAUAGUAGGUUGAAGAAACUUGUCUAACCAAGAACAUCAUAAGAUCAAGAUAACUUGAUAAAUAUCAUGAGACGUCUCUGCUGGAAUGUAAAUUGAUGGACAUGCACCUUAUUCAUCUUACGUAAAGCUCAUAGCUAAAUAGUGCAAUUCCUUUUUUGUCAGAUAGUGCAAUUUAGGUUUGAGAAAUAGCAGGUUUAUGUAAAUACUUGAAAUUCAUGAACUAAUUGAAAUGUGCCUAAAUGAACAAUAAUGUAACUUGCGAAGCCUAUUUAUACUGAUGUGAAAAGCUGCAAUUGAACCACGAAAUAUGAAGUUAAGGACCAUAAGAUAGGAAAUUACUUAGGCCGCUUAGUUAAGUCCUAUGUCCAUGUAUCACAGUUACCACAAUCAGCCUUCGGAAGGGAAGAACAGAAACCUUCUUAGCCAAAUAUAAAGAUUCUUUAAGUUGAUUGGUGAAAUCUAGAAAAACAUAGUUUAACAGAAUGUAUUUUAUAUUUAAUAAUUUAGUAAAGGCAUAGGCUGCACUAUCAAAACAGAUGCAAGUCAUGGUUACUUUGUCUGAAAAGUUCUUAAUUUAUCUAAAAGUGCAUUUUCCUUUCCUCCUAGGGAAUGAAGGCUUGAUGUGGAAUAUUUUAUACAAGUAAGUGAAAGUGAAAACUCACAUUAUUUUAGGAUAGUGCCAUUAAUAUAAGCUGAUGGUUAUAGAGCUAUAAGGAUAGUGCUGAAAAUAUCUUUUUAGCCUUGAUCAUCCUUUGGUUGGAUUUUUUAUGUAGAAGAAAUAUAUAUGUAUACAUAACAAAACAGAAGAAUAGACAAGAAAUAGAAAGGUGUACUUGACACAUCAAUUCCUAAGUAAUUGAGAGUUGGGGAGGGGAAGUUUGAAAAAUACAGCAAGUUAUUGAGUUCAAAUAACUCAUUCAAAUCCUAAGGCUAUAUACAAUCACAUCUUUUGAUAUUUCACUUUUUUAGCUAGAAAACAAGAUGAGAAUGGGAUAAAGAUGAUAUUUUCAAUAUGUACUUGGAAUGUUUAGAGGAUAUUUGAGCCAAAUUUGGCACUUAGCCACUAGCCAACCUGUCAAAUUUUACAGAAGACUAUCUUAUAUCCAUUUGUUUUUUCUUUCGUAAAAGACACUUAAAUAUGUUUACACCGGCAGAAUUAUGAUUUGCCAUAUGCGAAUUGGCAUGCCUAAUGCACAACCACGUCCUUUCCUCUUCAGAUUCAAGUUGUGAGGCAAUUGGUACAGUGGUACAUGUCAUUAUCCUUUUUCCGACUCUUGGAGAAAUAAGGAACAAAAUUACAUUUAAAGGUUUUGUUAAAUGAUAACACGCACAACAUUGUUUUUAUAUGUGCUCAAUCUGGAGUACACGUUAAGAAGGGCUCAUCUAUAUAUGUAUUUUGGUUUCAUGAGCAUAUAUUAUUUAUUAUAUAGUAGAGCAGAUCAAUUAGAAGAUACUACUGACCUGAAUUAUAAUAAAACACGGAGGCGGCAUGGGAAACACUGGACUUGUUUCACAGAAACUGAAAUGCACCUUCCGUCAAGAACAAGUAGCCUGUGAAACAGUAAUCCUGGAAUUUGUAUUUUGAUUUAUUUGUCCUAUCCCAGCACUCGUACCUGCACAACCGAAUCAAUUACCGACAUGAAUGGUGGUGUGAAAUUUGAACAACAUAAAUGUCUAGUCAAAUUCACCUUCCCUUCCCCGACUUUGAAGUUACUCUUGGAGUUGUAGGUGACAUCUUGAUCUAUUGAAUCAUUAUUCUAAUGCAAUUCCUGUUACUUAUACCUGAAAGAAUAUAAAAAUCAACUAAUAAAAGGUUUUCAAAAAGAUAAA
rnacentral:lncRNA from 1 species